CAGAGGACAGCGCAAUUAACCCUAGGCACCUGAUACAUCAAGCUACCAGUCUAUGCCAUCUCACCAUUAUCUUGUGCUAGGGCUUGACGACUUCUGCUGUUUGGCUUUCUCGACCAGAGGUUUUAGCUGUUGCUUCUUUGCAAGCAUCUUCGUUGAACAGGAAAGGGAUGUAGUUGUGCUUCCUCCGAAUGUUUUUGGCCUUCCAAUUCUUGAACUUCUCUUCCUUCAUGAUGAUCUUCUGUGUGACGGUUUCAACUGCCGAUAUCACCUCCUUAAGCGACUUGCUCAAUGAUUCUGUGGCGGAAGUCUUGUUCAUCUCUUGCAAAAUUUGCUCCCUUCUCUUCUACAGUUACUCCAGCACAGUACACCUCUUUCCUGUUCUUUAUGGUGGACCUGAUCCCAUUCUGUGAGUAUCGCUCGAUCCUUUCUUGAAUAACUAGCUGCACCCACCGUCCAGUGGCGAAGCUUGAGCAAAUUUCAUGGGGGUGCAAUUGUUUUAUGGGCGCAUAGAUUUACCACCCGUAGCCAAUCAAGGUCAUCCGCACCACCGCACUGCCCAAGAUUCACAGGCCCUUCCUUCAGCUCAUCCAGCUCAUACAGGACACCUUCAAAAGGUAAAUAGCUGAUGAAAUGGUAAACAUCAUCAUCCUUAGUCGCAGCUCUCUGCUCAUCAGAAAUAAAUGACUCUGGCCUUGCAAAGCUGUUAUGAGUUGUCCAGAUUUUGAGGAAAUGCAAUCGGAACAACCGUGCAAGGUGGUGAACAGCUACUGGGUGCAGGUGAUGGGUAUACCGAUGGUGUAUCGUACUUUCCCAACAAUUUGGGCAGUGGGCAGUUUGCUGGGUACAUCUAUUGAUGUGGACAUGAAACACACCAGGCAGUUUGAGGUUGGUAGAGUUCAAGUUAUGAUUCUUGAUGCUAAUCUUAUUCCCAGCACGGUGGAGGUGGUAAUCGGGGAGGAAGUAUACCUUCUGUCCUUCCGGGUUGAAGAUGGGAAUGGGGGGCUUCGGCCUGAGACGGAUAAUGAUGAAAAGGGGUUUAACGAUGAUGAAGAUGACCUGUUGGGGGAUGAUGAUGGUAAUGAUCUCAAUGGGGCUGGUCCUGGUCAGCUUGGAAAGAUGGGUGAUCGGGCUCCAGCUGCUGCCACUGGGGGAACAAUUACCCAUCAUUCCAAGUCUGGAAUUGCUCAGGGGGCUGCUUUGGAUGAUGAAAGUGGAAUGGGGUUAGUGGCUGUGUCGGGUGCGCAGCAAGUGGCACAAGACGGGGCAGUGGAACCGAACCGCAGUGGGUCCUGUUGCGCUCAAGAGUUGGCUGCCAUUCCUGAAAUGCUGGCGGGCAGCAAGUCCACCCGGUCUAGCAAAAGAAGGGGCGCGUCAAUGGACGAAUCAACUCUGGAGCGGGCGGAAAGGCUUAAGGCGCGACUGAAUGAAGGUAAUCUACAGGGGAACCUACUGGUGCCGUUCCUGGGCGCUGCUUCAAAGGCAUGAAGCUGCAAAGGAGAAGAUAGUCCAGGCUUGCAGACAUCUGGAGAGAGUGGUGAUGAUGGUGUUUGCGCAUUAUGGAUGGCGUUUCUCCAAUCGCAUUACUCUGUAGUUUUUUGAUGUCUUUGAAACCCUGUGUGGUUUUCCCCUUCUUUCAGUUUCCUAGGUGUUUUGACUCUGUGGUCGUGUGAAUGCUGUUUUAUGUUGUUGUUGGCUCGGACCCUCUACGGAGGAGAAGGCCGGAACUGCUUUUCCAUUAUCUAAAAAAGAUAGAUUCAAC
rnacentral:misc_RNA from 1 species